rnacentral:rRNA from 1 species
UACGUAGGUGGCAAGCGUUGUCCGGAUUUACUGGGCGUAAAGAGCGCGCAGGCGGUCGUUCAAGUCGCGUGUGAAAGCCCCCGGCUCAACUGGGGAGGGUCAUUCGAUACUGAUCGACUCGAAGGCAGGAGAGGGUAGUGGAAUUCCCGGUGUAGUGGUGAAAUGCGCAGAUAUCGGGAGGAACACCAAUGGCGAAGGCAGCUCGCUGGGACGUUACGUGACGCUGAGACGCGAAAGCGUGGGGAGCAAACAGG